GGGUACAUAGCUCAGCGGUAGAGCACAUGCUUAGCACACACAAGGUCCUGGGUUCAAUCCUAGUGCUUCCA
rnacentral:tRNA from 1 species